ACGAACGCUGGCGGCGUGCCUAAUACAUGCAAGUAGAACGCUGAAGGAGGAGCUUGCUUCUCUGGAUGAGUUGCGAACGGGUGAGUAACGCGUAGGUAACCUGCCUGGUAGCGGGGGAUAACUAUUGGAAACGAUAGCUAAUACCGCAUAACAGUAGAUAUCGCAUGAUAGCUGCUUGAAAGGUGCAAUUGCACCACUACCAGAUGGACCUGCGUUGUAUUAGCUAGUUGGUGGGGUAACGGCUCACCAAGGCAACGAUACAUAGCCGACCUGAGAGGGUGAUCGGCCACACUGGGACUGAGACACGGCCCAGACUCCUACGGGAGGCAGCAGUAGGGAAUCUUCGGCAAUGGACGGAAGUCUGACCGAGCAACGCCGCGUGAGUGAAGAAGGUUUUCGGAUCGUAAAGCUCUGUUGUAAGAGAAGAACGAGUGUGAGAGUGGAAAGUUCACACUGGACGAAUCUACCA
rnacentral:rRNA from 1 species